UAUUCAGUGUAUUUAGUCACUCUAAGUAUUUAUUCCUGCUCUUUCUUCUGCAGGACAUAUCAUGAAUGGUGACAUUUCAAGGGUAUCACGUUUUUCACCCUUGUGCCACACAUGGGGGUGACUAUCGUAUAUAAUAAACGUAAGCCUCACACCCCG